UACGUAGGGUGCAAGCGUUGUCCGGAAUUAUUGGGCGUAAAGAGCUCGUAGGCGGUCAGUCGCGUCUGCUGUGAAAACUCGGGGCUUAACUCCGGAUCUGCGGUGGGUACGGGCAGACUAGAGUGAUGUAGGGGAGACUGGAAUUCCUGGUGUAGCGGUGAAAUGCGCAGAUAUCAGGAGGAACACCGAUGGCGAAGGCAGGUCUCUGGGCAUUAACUGACGCUGAGGAGCGAAAGCAUGGGGAGCGAACAGG
rnacentral:rRNA from 1 species